UAUGUGAUCGUCUCUCGCAUAUCAAUAAGCGGAGGAAAAGAAACUAACAAGGAUCCCCUAGUAACGGCGAGUGAAGCGGGAAGAGCUCAAAUUUGAAAUCUUAAAGGGUUUCCCUUUACGAAUUGUAGUUUAAAGAAGUGUUUUCUGUUGAGGUUUUGGUAAAAGUUCUUUGGAAUAGGACAUCAUAGAGGGUGAGAAUCCCGUAUUUGACCUUUACUUUCAACUUUGUGAUACACUUUCAAAGAGUCGGAUUGUUUGGGAAUGCAGUCCAAAAUGGGUGGUAAAUUUCAUCUAAAGCUAAAUAUUGGCGAGAGACCGAUAGCGAACAAGUACCGUGAGGGAAAGAUGAAAAGAACUUUGAAAAGAGAGUUAAACAGUACGUGAAAUUGUCCAAAGGGAAGCGUUUGACACCAGUGUUGUUUUCCUGAAAAUCAAUUAAAGAACUGUUUAUGCUAAGUUGUUUAGACUUUAUCAGCUAACUGUUUAGUUUUGAGCUUUUCUUUAAUGCACUUUUCAGUUAACAAGUCAACAUCAAUUUCUUUUGCUGUAAAAAAGCUUGAGGAAGGUGGCUUGAGAUUCGUCUUAAGUGUUUAUAGCCUCUUGCCUAUGCAGUCGGAGAGAUUGAGGUCUGCAGCGUAGAUCCUUCGGGGCUAAAUGCAUUUGUGCUAAGUUAUAGCAUUUUAUAGACAACUUGUUGACUAUGAUUUGUCUUGUAGCUUACUCGCUUAUGUUAUUUUACCUACGCUUAGGAUGUUGACUGAUAUGUAGUCGUA
rnacentral:rRNA from 1 species